CAACAGACUGAGAGGCCAACUGCCUAUCAGUACUGGACCUCUUUGGAGAAAGGAUUGUCUGGAGGAAGUGUUGAGGAAAGAUUCAAACAUGAAUACAUUUGUGACUGAGCAGGAGGUAACCGACAGAGCUAAUGACUGAUCCCAUGCUCAGGGAGAAGAAGUUCCUUAAGAGUGUCUUACGCAUCUUGGAAGAAAGGUCACAGGACAGGAACAGCAUUGUCCGUCAGAUGGCUGUAAGAGGCCUGGGAAAUAUAGUCAGUGGGGCGCCUGAGAAGGUGAAAAAGCACAAGAAGUUUCUUCUGGACAUACUGAUCGGGGCCUUACAUUACAUUUUCAGUCCUGAAGUGAUUGGUGAGAGCAUGAAAGCACUGGCCAAAGUCCUGAAGGAGCUGAAAGAGAAGGACAUCGGUUCUUCCUUCAGAGACCUCUCCCAACAGAUCCGGACCUACUUUGAUGAUCAUCCUGGCCCUGAUGACAAAGAAAAAAUGGAAGGCGUAUUUUGCUGACCAGGUUCGAAAGAGCUGGGUCAUACUUCUGCUGCACCUGCAAGACCCAGACCCCAAGGUUUCAAUGGAAUGCAGAGCUACAUUUCACCUCUGUUUCCCGUUUUUGGGACUGAAGAGACUCCAAAGUACAAUUAAUGAGCCCUUUGGUGGCACAGGAGUUAAAGCCUGAAAAGCUCCAGGUGGACAUUUGCAGACACCUUGUCAAAGAGAAUGCAGAGCUGCUGGAGAACUUAUACAAAAACACCAUCAUGUACUUCUAUAGCAGCUGGGAAGAGAUCCGGGCAGUUGCCGCCAAGUUAGCUGGCAUCAUCCUGGAACACACAGACACUCAGCGUAUGAAAUGGCUGGACCUGGAACAUCUGCUGAUGUCUCUCCAGGUCCUAGAGAAAGACCCAAGUCCCACUGUCCAGCUGGUGGCAACUGAGAUCAUAAGUGACAUCUGUCCUGGCCGAGCGCUUGGCGAAUGAAGCAGAACGGAGACAAACAGAACAAGGCACUCCAGUAGUAUAAGGGCCCUACCAUCAAUCAAAUGUUAACUCUACCCCUUGGCCCCGUAAGCCCUGCUCACCGGUCACCAGAAGACCCACCCCAUGGGGUAUUACUUCCAGGGUCAAGACAGACACAUGAUCGGAAGCAAGGUUUGUCAUGUGACCCCUCUAAGAACUCCUCCCACUGUCCUCUACCAAUCAGGAUGGGUUUCACCCCCAUAGGAACACCCCGAGAGGAGAUUUGACCAACUGGGGGGAGUUCUGGGGCAGGGUGACCUGUCUGGAAGUGGUUUGUAUGACCCCUCUAAGAACUCCUUCCACCGCCCUCUACCAACCAGGAGGGGUUUCAGCUGCUGGGGACCACCCCAAGAGGAGAUUUGACCAAUUGGGGGGAAUUCUGGGGUGGGGUGACCAGUCCAGAAGUGGUUUGUGUGACCCCUCUAAGAACUCCUCCCACCACCCUUUACCAAUCACAAUGGGUUUUGGCUGCAGAGGACCGCCCCGAGAGGAGAUUUGACCAAAAUAGGGCAGGUUCUCGGACAGGGUGAACUGCUCAGAAGAGGGUCGUGUGACCCCUCUAAGAACUCCUUCCAAUGACCUCUGCCAAUCAGAGUGCAGCACCAUCACCCCAUAAGUCCCAGCGCAGGGCAGAGGAGGCCAUCUCUUACCAAGAAGACGUGUUUUAGGAACUGUGGAAAGGCCGAGAGGAAGCAUGGACUCCUUUACCACCCCCGUGAGAACUUCGGACUUUGUUUUAGCCCCGAGGACCUUUGGACUUGUGUGGAGAAAGCGCUUCAGAUGUGACAGUUCCGAGAAGGGCCCUUUGACUCAACCGUUGAGGGAUACGUCGGAACCCGACCAUGAAACCCAAACCUCCAUGAGGGACCCCGAUGAGUGUGACAGCCUCUCAUUGUCCACCCCCCUAAAGUUGGAAGGUGAUCAUGACUUGUGGGUGUCACCAGCGGACCAGGUGAACAGGAAAGACAUCGCUCAGGUAAAUGAAUGGUUAAGAAGUGACGGGCGAUCAUGGGGAGUGUAUUGGGCUUAGGAUUGGACCUGGCAUUACAUAAAUCUGAAAACAAGCAGGGGGUUGCUUACACUGUUUUUUGUCUGAAAAUCUCUCAACAGCUCAAUGAUGCCCUUCUAGAGGCCUUUGAGAACCUACACA